CAUAAUGCUGCUCCCACCUAUCUAUCCUCCCUUAUACACAAGUAUGUCCCGUCUAGGCCCUUACGAUCUGCUGAAGACUUACGUCUAUCUUCUGUCCGUACUCCCACCUCUGAUGCUCGCCUUCAAGACUUUUCCAGGGCUGCACCGUUCCUGUGGAACUCGCUUCCCUCCUCCGUUAGAUGCUCACCCAGUCUCCACUCCUUCAAAAAAUCUUUAAAAACCCAC